GGGAUGGGAGGGGACAAGAGAGAGGAAUGGGACAGGAACGGGAUAAAGGGACAGGAACGGGAUAAAGGGACAGGAGAGGGACAGGAGCAGGACAUGAGGACAGGAGCGGGACACGACAGAGGGACAGAGGGACAGAGGGACAGAGGGACAGAGGGACAGAGGGACAGAGGGACACAGGGACACAGGGACAGAGGGACAGAGGGACAGAGGGACAGAGGGACACGCUUCCCUACCAACCCGAAAUUCCCGACAGCAGCAGCCCCGGCGCUGUCCCUGGGCUGUCCCCCAUUGUCCCCAGGUUACCCCAGGUUAUCCCAGGCUGUCCCCAAACUGUCCCUGGGCUAUCCUGGGUUAUCCUGGGUUGUCCCCAAGCUGUCCCCAGGUUGUCCCGAGCUAUCCCAGGGCUAUCCCAGGGCUAUCCCAGGCUGUUCCUGUCUAUCCCAGGCUAUCCCAGAGUUGUCCUGGACUGUCCCCAAGCUGUCCCCAAGUUGUCCCAGGCUGUCUCUGUCUAUCCCAGGCUAUCCCGGGGUUGUCCCCGUUUUGUCCCUGGGCUAUCCCGGGAUGUCCCCAGGUUAUCCUGGGCUGUCCUGGGAUGUCCCCAAGCUGUCCCAGGCUGUCCCCAACUGUCCCUGUUUUGUCCCUGGGCUAUCCUGGGAUGUCCCCAGGUUAUCCUGGGCUAUCCUGGGAUGUCCCCAACUGUCCCUGUUUUGUCCCUGGGCUAUCCUGGGAUGUCCCCGUGCUGUCCCCAACUGUCCCCGGGUUAUCCUGGGCUAUCCCAGGCUGUCCCCAUCUGUCCCCGUUCUGUCCCUGGGCUAUCCCGGGAUGUGCCCAGGUUAUCCUGGGUUAUCCUGGGAUAUCCCCGUGCUGUCCCCAACUGUCCCUGGGCUAUCCUGGGAUGUCCCCAGGUUAUCCUG
rnacentral:lncRNA from 1 species